rnacentral:rRNA from 1 species
CCUACGGGAGGCAGCAGUGGGGAAUAUUGGACAAUGGGGGGAACCCUGAUCCAGCCAUGCCGCGUGUGUGAAGAAGGCCCUCGGGUUGUAAAGCACUUUCAGUGAGGAAGAACGCCUGGUGGUUAAUACCCAUCAGGAAAGACAUCACUCACAGAAGAAGCACCGGCUAACUCCGUGCCAGCAGCCGCGGUAAUACGGAGGGUGCGAGCGUUAAUCGGAAUUACUGGGCGUAAAGCGCGCGUAGGUGGCUUGAUAAGCCGGUUGUGAAAGCCCCGGGCUCAACCUGGGAACGGCAUCCGGAACUGUCAAGCUAGAGUGCAGGAGAGGUAGGUAGAAUUCCCGGUGUAGCGGUGAAAUGCGUAGAGAUCGGGAGGAAUACCAGUGGCGAAGGCGGCCUUCUGGACUGACACUGACACUGAGGUGCGAAAGCGUGGGUAGCAAACAGGAUUAGAUACCCUGGUAGUC